UCCGUAGCCGGUUUGAUAAAUCUUUUGUGAAAUCGUACAGCUUAACUGAACGGCGUGCAGAAGACACUAUCAAACUAGGGACCGGGAGGAGUCAGAGGUAUGCCGGGGGGAGCGGUAAAAUGCUAUAAUCCCUGGUAGACCACCUGUGGCGAAGGCGUCUGACUAGAACGGAUCUGACGGUGAGGGACGAAAGCUAGGGGAGCGAACAGGAUUAGAUACCCUGGUAGUCC
rnacentral:rRNA from 1 species